GAAAGAGACUGGUCCUUUUUAAAAAAUUGAGAAUCAUGGCCCAUUCAGCAAGGCUGGGACAAGGAUAAAGAAGCCAUCAGGAAGCCUGAAGAAGGCUUUGACCAUGAUCCAGCAAAGCACUUGCACAAGUGCUUGCCUUAAAACACCUGAAUACUCCAAUCUGAGCCAACUGACUACUUCAGUUGAGAUGUUUGGCUGUUUUCUGCCUGGGGGGAUGAAGGAGCCUACUCUCAGGUGGAACAAAGUGAGAAAGAAGAAAGACACUGAUGUCAAGCAAGCACUGUUCAGUCGCAGAUAGAAUGCUGUUCUGUUGUCAACACCAUUUCAGUCACACAC